AGAGUUUGAUCCUGGCUCAGGAUGAACGCUAGCGACAGGCCUAACACAUGCAAGUCGAGGGGCAGCGGAGAGGUAGCAAUACCUUUGCCGGCGACCGGCGCACGGGUGAGUAACACGUAUGCAAUCCACCUGUAACAGGGGGAUAACCCGGAGAAAUCCGGACUAAUACCCCAUAAUAUGGGUUCUCCGCAUGGAGGGUCCAUUAAAGAGAGCAAUUUUGGUUACAGACGAGCAUGCGCUCCAUUAGCCAGUUGGCGGGGUAACGGCCCACCAAAGCGACGAUGGAUAGGGGUUCUGAGAGGAAGGUCCCCCACAUUGGAACUGAGACACGGUCCAAACUCCUACGGGAGGCAGCAGUGAGGAAUAUUGGUCAAUGGUCGGCAGACUGAACCAGCCAAGUCGCGUGAGGGAAGACGGCCCUACGGGUUGUAAACCUCUUUUGUCGGAGAGUAAAGUGCGCUACGCGUAGCGUAUUGCAAGUAUCCGAAGAAAAAGCAUCGGCUAACUCCGUGCCAGCAGCCGCGGUAAUACGGAGGAUGCGAGCGUUAUCCGGAUUUAUUGGGUUUAAAGGGUGCGUAGGCGGCACGCCAAGUCAGCGGUGAAAUUUCCGGGCUCAACCCGGACUGUGCCGUUGAAACUGGCGAGCUAGAGUGCACAAGAGGCAGGCGGAAUGCGUGGUGUAGCGGUGAAAUGCAUAGAUAUCACGCAGAACCCCGAUUGCGAAGGCAGCCUGCUAGGGUGCGACAGACGCUGAGGCACGAAAGCGUGGGUAUCGAACAGGAUUAGAUACCCUGGUAGUCCACGCAGUAAACGAUGAAUACUAACUGUUUGCGAUACAAUGUAAGCGGUACAGCGAAAGCGUUAAGUAUUCCACCUGGGGAGUACGCCGGCAACGGUGAAACUCAAAGGAAUUGACGGGGGCCC
rnacentral:rRNA from 1 species